rnacentral:lncRNA from 7 species
GGUCAAUGUGAAGUAUUCAUACAUUAUUACAAGGCAGCUUCAAAUCCAUCACAACAAGAGAACGUGUGGCAUAUAAAGAGAAGAAUGGAAAAACUGCAUGAUGUUUCCAAGGUCAUAAUGUAGGCUUGCUACAGAGCAGGAAAUAGGAACUGGCUGAUCUAAAGCACAUGAACACUGUUAUAUAUUCUCAUCAGCAUUUGAUGGAGUAGGAAAGAGAAUGAAUGCUAAAUGAAUCUGAGUUGCCAUUUAAAAAUUUUUAUAAAAAUGUCUUCUGUAUUUAUAAGAUCCUUCUACAUGCUAUACAAAUGAAAAUUCAGAUUUGUGGAAAUAUUUAAUGUUUAAAAUGAUUUAGUGGUACAUUUUUGUCAAACACAAGUAGUGAGUUAAUACUAUAUCACUGAGAAAGUAUGCUUUACGAAGGUGAUAAUAAUUUGGAUGCAGAACUUCAUUUCUCUACCAUAUUAGUUAUAUUAUGGAAGGAUGUUGAAUUCAAAAAUUAUAAUCAUGUAUUUUGAUUGUUACUGAUAUAUACUGUAAGAGAAAGAGCUGCUGUUUGCUCACUGUUUGUUCUCUAUGGCAAACCAGUCUCAGAAUUAUGCUACGUGCCUGCCCAGAAUACGCAUUGGUGGGCCUGUGAAUUGAAAUCACAAAACAUGGUUUCAUGGGGCUACCCAAAGAAACUUAAUCAAGUAGGGUCAGAUGUACCGUAUAUUACUGGAUGUGCUUUUGUUAGUAUGUUCUAUUUUUCUAUUGAUGUUUGAUCUUACACUGUUCGGUGUAUUAUACCUCGUCCCAUCUUUGUUCUUUUUACAACAUAAUUCAAACUCGGUAAAGAUGAAGCAUGCCAUGAUUUGAGGACAAGUUUUUUUAAGAAUCUUCAGGUCCAUCUCCACUUAAUUUGGCUUCCUGCAGUAGGUGAAGUGACCUUUUUUGUAAGGCACUGAAAAUCCACCCAGUGCUACAAUAAAACUGAAAUGCAAGAAAUCCAAUAAUGCUGCCCUGAUUCAAAGCCCAUUGAAAUAAAAAGAAAUCUCCUAC